rnacentral:rRNA from 1 species
UACGUAGGGUGCGAGCGUUAAUCGGAAUUACUGGGCGUAAAGUGUGCGCAGGCGGCCGUGCAAGUCGAGUGUGAAAGCCCCGAGCUUAACUUGGGAAUUGCGCUCGAAACUACUUGGCUGGAGUGUGGCAGAGGAAGGUGGAAUUCCAGGUGUAGCGGUGAAAUGCGUAGAGAUCUGGAGGAACACCGAUGGCGAAGGCAGCUCGCUGGAACGGUACUGACGCUGAGGCGCGAAAGCGUGGGGAGCGAACAGG